UCAAUCUUUAAAAUAUAUGCAGCUUCACAGUUGCUAGCAUAAAUUAAUUAUGAAAAUACCAUUACCCUAAAGGAAAAAGACACUGACCUAGCAUGUGAUCAUGUAAUUAAAUUAUGCCCCUCAGCUUCGAUAUUAUACUAAAAAUACAUGCAGCUAUAGUAACAAAUGCUCCAGGAUUAAACAAGUCUGGCAAUUAGAAUAAAAAAUUAUUCUUUCCUAAAAUCACUGGAAACAUGUUAGUGUACAAGAAGAAAAUUUAACUCUAAAGCAGUAUGAACAGCUCUUAUUACACUUGUUGAAGUAACAUCAUCAGUUAAUGUUAAUGUAACACUGUGCAGAUCCUUGACUGGUGGAAACUGACCUAAUCUUAUUAAGGACAAUGGAAGUAUACUAAUUUAUGUUAGCCGAGAAUCUGUCCUCAGGGCUUUGUUCUCUUGUAUUUAUCUAUCCAUGGAGCUCUAAAUAACACUUUAUCAAUAAUAAGAAGUAUAUUUCCUGAGGAUUUCAGUCAUCUGCAGCUUUGAGAAGUCUUGUUUCAAACAUAUUCUCUUCAUAGACAGAGCCAUAGCUAUCAGUGUUUUCCUAAUUGUAUAAUUCCUAGGAAAUUUCAGCAAAACAAAUGUGUUGUGUUGUCUUAUCUUUCUUGUGUUCUUGCAGAUGAGAGAAAAAUGUCUGUCAGGAGGUCAGGCCCAAUCAAUAACCUGGAUCUUCAGUGGGUCAAAUAUCUUCAACCUAUGUACCAACUGGUUGACAUACUCUGUUUAAACACAAACAGCGGAAAGACAUUGACAACAUUUGAUACUUUUUAAUUCAGUAGCAAAGUAGCUACAAGGAGACUAUAGAGAACAAGAGAACAUGAAGGACACAGUUAUUCGUAUUUGGCUGAACAUUUAUUUUGUAUAUGCAAUGACUGUCAUUUACACACUCAUUAAGUCAUCAACAUAUACAAGAAUGAUAUGAUGAAGAGGAAAGCUUAAAGAAGACAGUAAGAUCUGGGGGAGUUUAAGGGGUUGUUUCUAGGUGAAUUCACUCUAUACCAUUAAGAACUGAAAACGCAGAUGUCGUCUGCUCAAAACUGGGAUCCGGUAAAACCUGGGGGGUAAAUGUUCUGUACAAAGUCACCAAAUGAAAAAAAAAUGUAGAGCCUUGUAGCAAUAGGCUGAAAUAACUUGAUCUCUUCUAUUUUCUCUUUAGUUUAACUUUUUCUCAAUAAAAAAAAAUGAAUAAAUAAAUAAAUAUUGGCU
rnacentral:lncRNA from 1 species